rfam:Capsicum annuum cultivar Zunla-1 chromosome 8, whole genome shotgun sequence
UGAUGAUGGUGAGGGCAAUUUUUUAUCAUAAUUUUAAAUCUCUCCCAAGCUUGAUGAUGGUGAGGGCAAUUCUUUCUAUCUGAAACUCAAAAUCUUGCUUCUCAAAUG